rnacentral:rRNA from 1 species
UUAUGAGCUUGAACGGGCCGCAGUGAUCAGACUCAAGCGACUGUUUAUCAAAAACACAGGAGGGUGCAAAGUUCUAAUACAACGUAUACCCUCUGACACCUGCCCGGUGCUGGAAGGUUAAGUGGAGAGGUUAGCUUCGGCGAAGCUUUGAAAUUAAGCCCCAGUAAACGGCGGCCGUAACUAUAACGGUCCUAAGGUAGCGAAAUUCCUUGUCGGGUAAGUUCCGACCUGCACGAAUGGUGUAACGAUUUGAGUACUGUCUCAACCAGAGACUCGGCGAAAUUGCAAUGUGAGUAAAGAUGCUCACUAUGCGCGACAGGACGGAAAGACCCCGGAACCUUUACUGCAACUUGAUAUUGAAGUUUGGUGUGCAGUAUGCAGGAUAAGUGGGAGACUAUGAAAUAGCGGCGCUAGUCGUUAUGGAGUCAUCCUUGAGAUACCACUUUCUUCAUAUUGAGCUUCUAACCUAGAUCCGUUAUCCGGAUCAGGGACAUUGUCUGGUGGGCAGUUUCACUGGGGCGGUGGCCUCCUAAAAAGUAACGGAGGCGCUCUAAGGUCACCUCAGCGUGGACGGCAAUCACGCAUCGAGUGUAAGUGCAAAAGGUGGCUUGACUGUGACACAAACAAGUGGAGCAGGUACGAAAGUAGGAACUAGUGAUCCCAUGGUUGCAUGUGGGUGCGCCAUGGCUCAUCGGCUAAAAGGUACUCCGGGGAUAACAGGCUUAUACCCCCCAAGAGUCCAUAUCGACGGGGGUGUUUGGCACCUCGAUGUCGGCUCUUCUCAUCCUGGGGCUGGAGCAGGUCCCAAGGGUUAGGCUGUUCGCCUAUUAAAGAGGAACGCGAGCUGGGUUCAGAACGUCGUGAGACAGUUCGGUCCCUAUCCGUCGCGCACGCAAGAGUUUUGAAGAAAGUUGUCCCUAGUACGAGAGGACCGGGAUGAACGAACCGCUGGUGUGCCAGUUGUCCUGCCAAGGGCACGGCUGGUUAGCUACGUUCGGAAAGGAUAAGCGCUGAAAGCAUCUAAGUGCGAAGCCCCUUCUAAGAUAAGAACUCUCACCGGAUUAACCGGGUAAGACUCCUUAUAGAACAUGAGGUUGAUAGGUCAGAAGUGUAAGUACAGUAAUGUAUUCAGCUGACUGAUACUAAUAAGUCGAGGGCUUGAACUG